rnacentral:rRNA from 1 species
UACAGAGGGUGCGAGCGUUGUUCGGAAUACUGGGCGUAAAGCGCGCGCAGGCGGAUGAUGCAAGUCUGGAGUGAAAUCUCGCCGCUCAACGGCGAGGCUGCUUUGGAUACUGUACGUCUGGGGACUGGUAGAGGCUGGUAGAAUUCCCGGUGUAGCGGGUGGAAUGCGUAGAUAUCGGGAAGAAUACCCGUGGCGAAGGCGGCCAGCUGGGCCAGAU